rnacentral:rRNA from 1 species
AGCGAACGCUGGCGGCAGGCCUAACACAUGCAAGUCGAACGAACUCUUCGGAGUUAGUGGCGGACGGGUGAGUAACACGUGGGAACGUGCCUUUUGGUUCGGAAUAACUCAGGGAAACUUGUGCUAAUACCGAAUGUGCCCUUCGGGGGAAAGAUUUAUCGCCAUUAGAGCGGCCCGCGUCUGAUUAGCUAGUUGGUGAGGUAACGGCUCACCAAGGCGACGAUCAGUAGCUGGUCUGAGAGGAUGACCAGCCACACUGGGACUGAGACACGGCCCAGACUCCUACGGGAGGCAGCAGUGGGGAAUCUUGCGCAAUGGGCGAAAGCCUGACGCAGCCAUGCCGCGUGAAUGAUGAAGGUCUUAGGAUUGUAAAAUUCUUUCACCGGGGACGAUAAUGACGGUACCCGGAGAAGAAGUCCCGGCUAACUUCGUG